AAAUAAAUAUAUAUGCAUAUAUGUGUAGCUUUAAUCGGCUAUUAUCGGUAGUAAAUGGCUCGAUUUACUACCGAUUUAUUUUUAAUAAUAGAGCUUCUAAAUCGACGAUCGGUAUUGUUGAACUUGAUUUAGACUAUUUAAAUUAUUUAAAAUUAAAUUUCAUGAUUUUUCGACAUCACUAACUAAACAAUCAAAAGUUCACAAAUCUGUAAUUUUAAUGAUUGAUAUGGUGUGUUUGCUCAUUUAACGGUAUAGAAGAAUUCAAAUCAACUAAAUUUUUGUUAAAAAGUUCUUUAAACUAUUUAAAACAAUAUCUAAACUCUAGAUUUUAAAUACAGAAAUUAUAUCAUCACUUUUUGAAGGAUAUUCAUUUUCAGCCAUUUAUUUUUCUGUUCACUUAAUGCAAAAGAGAACAAUAUCGAAAAUACGUGAAAUUUAAUUUUCAAAUAGUUUAAAUGAUUUAGAUCAUGUUUAACGAUACCGAUCGUCAAUUUGGAAGCUCUAUCAUCGUUGAAAACAAAUCGAUAGUAAAUCGAGCGUUGUUUACUAUCAAGAGUAUUCUAGCAAAACUCCAUAUAGGUUAUCUAGGAUUUGGGGUAAUAUCGAAAAUGCAUUUAUUUAAUUUAGAAACAAACUUAGAUAGAAAUAUGAAUCAACUAAAAUUCAAACUUGAAAUUUUAAAUAUCAAUAAUCAAAUUUUUUAUCACUUGUACUGAGAACAGCCGGUAGUGAUGGAGAUUUUUAUUUUGUGCGAUUUCUAG
rnacentral:lncRNA from 1 species